UACGUAGGGUGCAAGCGUUAAUCGGAAUUACUGGGCGUAAAGCGUGCGCAGGCGGUGAUGUAAGACAGUUGUGAAAUCCCCGGGCUCAACCUGGGAACUGCAUCUGUGACUGCAUCGCUGGAGUGCGGCAGAGGGGGAUGGAAUUCCGCGUGUAGCAGUGAAAUGCGUAGAUAUGCGGAGGAACACCGAUGGCGAAGGCAAUCCCCUGGGCUAACACUGACGCUCAGGCACGAAAGCGUGGGGAGCAAACAGG
rnacentral:rRNA from 1 species